rnacentral:rRNA from 1 species
CGGUCUGUCAAGUCGGAUGUGAAAUCCCCGGGCUCAACCUGGGAACUGCAUUCGAAACUGGCAGGCUAGAGUCUUGUAGAGGGGGGUAGAAUUCCAGGUGUAGCGGUGAAAUGCGUAGAGAUCUGGAGGAAUACCGGUGGCGAAGGCGGCCCCCUGGACAAAGACUGACGCUCAGGUGCGAAAGCGUGGGGAGCAAACAGGAUUAGAUACCCUGGUAGUCCACGCCGUAAACGAUGUCGACUUGGAGGUUGUGCCCUUGAGGCGUGGCUUCCGGAGCUAACGCGUUAAGUCGACCGCCUGGGGAGUACGGCCGCAAGGUUAAAACUCAAAUGAAUUGACGGGGGCCCGCACAAGCGGUGGAGCAUGUGGUUUAAUUCGAUGCAACGCGAAGAACCUUACCUGGCCUUGACAUCCACGGAAUUUGGCAGAGAUGCCUUAGUGCCUUCGGGAACCGUGAGACAGGUGCUGCAUGGCUGUCGUCAGCUCGUGUUGUGAAAUGUUGGGUUAAGUCCCGCAACGAGCGCAACCCUUAUCCUUUGUUGCCAGCACGUAAUGGUGGGAACUCAAAGGAGACUGCCGGUGAUAAACCGGAGGAAGGUGGGGGAUGACGUCAAGUCAUCAUGGCCCUUACGGCCAGGGCUACACACGUGCUACAAUGGCGCAUACAAAGAGAAGCGACCUCGCGAGAGCAAGCG